GAUGGGAGCUUGCUCCCUGAAUUAGCGGCGGACGGGUGAGUAACACGUGGGCAACCUGCCUAUAAGACUGGGAUAACUUCGGGAAACCGGAGCUAAUACCGGAUACGUUCUUUUCUCGCAUGAGAGAAGAUGGAAAGACGGUUUACGCUGUCACUUAUAGAUGGGCCCGCGGCGCAUUAGCUAGUUGGUGAGGUAAUGGCUCACCAAGGCGACGAUGCGUAGCCGACCUGAGAGGGUGAUCGGCCACACUGGGACUGAGACACGGCCCAGACUCCUACGGGAGGCAGCAGUAGGGAAUCUUCCGCAAUGGACGAAAGUCUGACGGAGCAACGCCGCGUGAACGAAGAAGGCCUUCGGGUCGUAAAGUUCUGUUGUUAGGGAAGAACAAGUACCAGAGUAACUGCUGGUACCUUGACGGUACCUAACCAGAAAGCCACGGCUAACUACGUGCCAGCAGCCGCGGUAAUACGUAGGUGGCAAGCGUUGUCCGGAAUUAUUGGGCGUAAAGCGCGCGCAGGUGGUUCCUUAAGUCUGAUGUGAAAGCCCACGGCUCAACCGUGGAGGGUCAUUGGAAACUGGGGAACUUGAGUGCAGAAGAGGAAAGUGGAAUUCCAAGUGUAGCGGUGAAAUGCGUAAAGAUUUGGAGGAACACCAGUGGCGAAGGCGACUUUCUGGUCUGUAACUGACACUGAGCGCGAAGCGUGGGGAGCAAAAAGGAUUAAGAUACCCUGGUAUCCACGCCUAAACAAUGAGUGCUAAUUUUAAAGG
rnacentral:rRNA from 1 species